rnacentral:rRNA from 1 species
UUCCUACGGGGGGCAGCAGUAGGGAAUUUUCGUCAAUGGGCGCAAGCCUGAACGAGCAAUGCCGCGUGAACGAGGAAGGUCUUCGGAUCGUAAAGUUCUGUUGAAGGGGAAAAAGAGCGGAGAGAGGAAAUGAACUCCGAUUGAUAUUACCCUUCGAGGAAGUCACGGCUAACUACGUGCCAGCAGCCGCGGUAAUACGGAGGAUGCGAGCGUUAUCCGGAUUUAUUGGGUUUAAAGGGUGCGUAGGCGGGACGGUAAGUCAGCGGUAAAAAUGCGGAGCUCAACUCCGUCGAGCCGUUGAAACU